GGGGGCGUAGCUUAGUCCGGCUUAAAGCGUCAGAUUGUCGAUCUGAAGAUCGUGGGUCCGAAUCCCAUCGCCCUCG
rfam:Candidatus Omnitrophica bacterium CG1_02_43_210 cg_0.2_sub10_scaffold_1719_c, whole genome shotgun sequence.